GAUAGUGUUUUGGACGAUUGUCUAGUCAUAUUUAUUGAGUGGGAUAUUUUCUUCCAAGUGAAUGAAGAAGAUAUAAUCAAGACAUUCAUGUCAUUUAAAAAGCAGCGGGUAAACAAAGCAAACAAGUAAUAUUGUAAGUUUCUUUUAUGCUAUAUUUCGAACUGUAGUUCAUUUGAACUAUUUUUAUUAUGAUUUGUUAUUAAUCUUUGAAUUUAAGACUUAUCAUGUUAUUUAGUGCAUGUGGUUUACCG
rnacentral:lncRNA from 1 species